rnacentral:rRNA from 1 species
UACAGAGGGUGCAAGCGUUAAUCGGAAUUACUGGGCGUAAGGCGCGCGUAGGUGGUUUGUUAAGUUGGAUGUGAAAGCCCCGGGCUCAACCUGGGAACUGCAUCCAAAACUGGCAAGCUAGAGUACGGUAGAGGGUGGUGGAAUUUCCUGUGUAGCGGUGAAAUGCGUAGAUAUAGGAAGGAACACCAGUGGCGAAGGCGACCACCUGGACUGAUACUGACACUGAGGUGCGAAAGCGUGGGGAGCAAACAGG